AAUAGAUACCCAGGUAGUCCACGCUGUAAACGAUGAGUGCUAGGUGUCAGGGGUUUCGAUACCCUUGGUGCCGAAGUCAACACAGUAAGCACUCCGCCUGGGGAGUACGGUCGCAAGACUGAAACUCAAAGGAAUUGACGGGGACCCGCACAAGCAGUGGAGUGUGUGGUUUAAUUCGAAGCAACGCGAAGAACCUUACCAGGUCUUGACAUCCCUCUGAAUACCCUGGAGACAGGGUAGGCCUUCGGGACAGAGGAGACAGGUGGUGCAUGGUUGUCGUCAGCUCGUGUCGUGAGAUGUUGGGUUAAGUCCCGCAACGAGCGCAACCCUUGAUUUUAGUUGCCAGCACGAAAGGUGGGCACUCUAAAAUGACUGCCGGUGACAAACCGGAGGAAGGCGGGGGAUGACGUCAAAUCAUCAUGCCCCUUAUGACCUGGGCUACACACGUACUACAAUGGCCGGUACAACGGGAAGCGAAGGGGCGACCCGGAGCGAAUCCUUCAAAGCCGGUCUCAGUUCGGAUUGCAGGCUGCAACUCG
rnacentral:rRNA from 1 species